rnacentral:rRNA from 1 species
CCCUACGGGGGGCAGCAGUGGGGAAUAUUGCACAAUGGGGGAAACCCUGAUGCAGCGACGCCGCGUGGGUGACGAAGUAUUUCGGUAUGUAAAGCCCUAUCAGCAGGGAAGAAGAUGACAGUACCUGACUAAGAAGCCCCGGCUAACUACGUGCCAGCAGCCGCGGGAAUACGUAGGGGGCAAGCGUUAUCCGGAUUUACUGGGUGUAAAGGGAGCGUAGGUGGCAUGGCAAGCCAGAAGUGAAAACCCGAGGCUUAACCCCGCGGAUCGCU